GGGGAGAUAUCUUGAGCAUGAGGGAGGUUUUCUCAGGGUGAGUCUCAAACACCAUUCCAGGUGUGCUGACCCUUGCGAUUUCCCCCAAAUGUGGGAAACUCGAC